ensembl:snRNA U4 U4 spliceosomal RNA
AGCUUUGCACAGUGGCAGUAUCAUAGUCAAUGAGGUUUAUCUGAGGCACGAUUAUAGCUAAUUGAAAACUUUUCCCAAUAUCCCGCUAUGACGACUUGCUACACAGUCAGCACUGGCAAUUUUUGACAGUCUCUACAGAGA